CAACAAGGGCAUCCAGCUUGUUUCAUAACAGACAACAGUGACGCUGAGCGUAAUGCCUUGAAGACUGUAUGGCCAGAAUCUCAGCGCUUUCUGUGCAUAUUCCACAUCCUGCAGCAGGUCUGGAGGUGGCUGUGUGAUGGUUCACAUGGCAUCAAGAAGGAAGAUCGCCGAGUACUAAUGACAGUGGCAAAGAAUCUGGUAUAUGCUGAUUCAGAUGAAACAUUUCAAGAUGAAUGGAAUUGCUUUUGUCAGACCCCAGAAGCCCAAAAGUAUAACCAGUACAUGAGAUAUAGGCUACCGUACAAGAGGGAAAAAAUACAUACGUUGGUAUCUGGCAAAGCUGAUAGAAAGGAAGGAAGAAUGGAGUACUGUGUACAGGGCUGGAUUUUUGCUACGUGGACACCACACAAAUAAUUUUGCAGAAUCUACCAUGUGCAUCAUUAAAGAUAUCAUUCUCAACAGAUGUAAAGCCUACAACACGACUCAACUGAUCAUGUUUAUGAAUGAAAUAUUUGAUGAAUAUAUGAAACAACGCCUCAUUGAUGUGUCUCUCUGUAGAAGGAAAGUAGUGAAGCCACCAACUGGGAUUUCCAUUAGUAAGGAAAGCAUCACUAGGUAUAAUGAAGAUCAGCAUCAGUUCAUAGUUAAAAGCCAGUCAAAGGAACAAAUACAGUAUACUGUAGAUCUUAAAAUUGGCUUGUGCGAGUGCAGUACUGGUAUGACUGGUAAAGUUUGCAAACAUCAGGCUGCUUGUUCAGAACAGUUCCUCUUGCAGUUACCUCAGAUAUUGGAAAAUAGCCCAGAAAAUAGGCACUGGCUUGCAAGUAUUGCACUUGGAAAUGAAAACGUACCACCCUUGGAUUUCUUUGUUACCUUGAAAGAAAACUCUGAAUCAGUAACAGGGGAUGAUCACUCACAUACUGGAGGAAAACAAAAGUCUCAUGGUGCAGCUCAUGAUGUAGAUAAUG